ensembl:ncRNA mir-4967 mir-4967 stem loop
CUAUAGCGUUGUCUCUUGCGCAAAUUGCAUUUUCUCUCUGUUAACAUGUACACAUAAUUCCUGUAACAAAGGGCAUUUGCAAUGUGUGAGUCAGCAAACCGCAUCCG